NNNNCUAAGUAAGUGUAGUAAUCUGUUCUUAUCAGUUUAAUAUCUGAUACGUCCCCUAUCUGGGGACCAUAUAUUAAUUGAUUUUUGGAAUAGGGAGAUGGAAUAGGGGCUUGCUCCGUCCACUCCACGCAUCGACCUGGUAUUGCAGUACCUCCAGGAACGGUGCACCCCCU
rnacentral:snRNA from 1 species